rnacentral:rRNA from 1 species
AGUCUGAUUAUGGCUCAGAUUGAACGCUGGCGGGAUGCUUUACACAUGCAAGUCGAACGGCAGCACGGACUUCGGUCUGGUGGCGAGUGGCGAACGGGUGAGUAGAUUAAUGGAACGCCUAGUAGGGGGAUAACUACGCGAAAGCGGAAGCUACCGCAUACGCCCUCUUCGGGAAAGCGGGGACCUUCGGGCCUCGGACCAUUAGAGCGGCCGAUAUCGGAUUAGCUAGUUGGUGGGGUAACGGCUCACCAAGGCGACGAUCCGUAGCUGGUUUGAGGACGACCAGCCACACUGGGACUGAGACACGCCCAGACUCCUACGGGAGGCAGCAGUGGGGAACCGGGAGCCAAUGGGGGGAAAACCCUGAUCCAGCCAUCCUUGGCAAAGAUGAAUACUUCGUUCGUAAAGCACUUUUGGCAGGAAAGAAACGGCACGGGAUAAUACCCGUGCAACUGACGGUACCUGCAGAAUAAGCACUGCUAACUACGUGCCAGCAGCCGCGGUAAUACGUAGGGCAAGCAGAUCACUGACUACUAAGGAAGGCAGGUUCGGAAAGAAAGAUGUGAAAUCCCAGAGCUUAACUUUCUGAACUGCAUUUUUAACUACCGAGCUAGGAGUGUGUCAGAGGGAGGUGGAAUUCCGCAGCAGGUAAAUGCGUAGAUAUGCGGAGGAACACCGAUGGCGAAGGCAGCCUCUCCUGGAUAACACUGACGCUCAUGCACGAAAGCGUGGGGAGCAAACAGGAUUUAGAUACCCUGGUAGUCCACGCCCUAAACGAUGUCAACUUAGCUGUUAAAGUUCCUGGCCCGUGGUAGCGCAGCUAACGCGUGAAGUUGACCGCCUGGGGAGUACGGUCGCAAGAUCAAAAACUCAAAGGAAUUGACGGGGACCCGCACAAGCGGUGGAUGAUGUGGAUUAAUUCGAUGCAACGCGAAAAACCUUACCUACCCUUGACAUGCCUGGAAUCCCGAAGAGAUUUGGGAGUGCUCGCAAGAGAACCGGAACACAGGUGCCAGAUGGCUGUCGUCAGCUCGUGUCGUGAGAUGUUGGGUUAAGUCCCGCAACGAGCGCAACCCCUUGUCAUUAGUUGCUACGAAAGGGCACUCUAAUGACUGCCGGUGACAAGUGGAGGAAGGUGGGGAUGACGUCAAGUCCUCAUGGCCCUUAUGGGUAGGGCCUACACGUCAUACAAUGGUCGGACAGAGGGUCGCCAACUCGCGAGGGGGAGCUAAUCCCUUGGGAACCCGGAUCACCGUAGUCCGGAUCGCAGUCUGCAAAUCCCCGACUGCGUGAAGUCGGAAUCGCUAGUAAUCGCGGAUCAGCAUGUCGCGGUGAAUACGUUCCCGGGUCUUGUACACACCGCCCGUCACACCAUGGGAGUGGGUUUUACCAGAAGUAGUUAGCCCUAACCGUAAGGAGGGCGAUUACCACGGUAGGAUUCAUGACUGGGGUGAAGUCGUAACAAGGUAA